rnacentral:rRNA from 1 species
GAUAUCAUUAAGCGGAGGAAAAGAAACCAACAGGGAUUGCCCUAGUAACGGCGAGUGAAGCGGCAACAGCUCAAAUUUGAAAUCUGGCUUCGGCCCGAGUUGUAAUUUGCAGAGGAUGUUUAUGGUGCGGUACCUUCCGAGUUCCCUGGAACGGGACGCCACAGAGGGUGAGAGCCCCGUCUGGUUGGAUACCAAACCUGUGUUAAACUCCUUCAACGAGUCGAGUAGUUUGGGAAUGCUGCUCUAAAUGGGAGGUAAAUCUCUUCUAAAGCUAAAUACCGGCCAGAGACCGAUAGCGCACAAGUAGAGUGAUCGAAAGAUGAAAAGCACCUUGAAAAGGGGGUUAAACAGUACGUGAAAUUGUUGAAAGGGAAGCGUUUAUGACCAGACUUGUGUCGUGUGGCUCAUCCGAGGUUCUCCCCGGUGCACUCCACACGGCUCAGGCCAACAUCGGUUCUCGUUGGGGGAUAAGAACAGUAGGAACGUGGCCCCUCUCGGGGGGUGUUAUAGCCUAUUGUACGAUACUCUGACGGGGACCGAGGACCGCGCUUCGGCUAGGAUGUUGGCGUAAUGGUCAUUAGCGACCCGUCUUGAAACACGGACCAAGGAGUCGUCCAUUAGAGCGAGCGUUUGGGUGUAAAACCCGCACGCGUAAUGAAAGUGAAAUUAGGUGAGAGCUUCGGCGCAUCAUCGACCGAUCCUGAAGUUUACGGAUGGAUUUGAGUAAGAGUUUUAACGGACGGACCCGAAAGACAGUGAACUAUGCUUGAAUAGGGUGAAGCCAGAGGAAACUCUGGUGGAGGCUCGCAGCGGUUCUGACGUGCAAAUCGAUCGUCAAAUUUGAGCAUGGGGGCGAAAGACUAAUCGAACUGUCUAGUAGCUGGUUACCGCGA